rnacentral:rRNA from 1 species
CAGUCGCCGCGGUAACACGAAGGGUGCAAGCGUUACUCGGAAUUACUGGGCGUAAAGCGUGCGUAGGUGGUGGUUUAAGUCCGUUGUGAAAGCCCUGGGCUCAACCUGGGAAUUGCAGUGGAUACUGGGUCACUAGAGUGUGGUAGAGGAUAGUGGAAUUUCCGGUGUAGCAGUGAAAUGCGUAGAGAUCGGAAGGAACAUCUGUGGCGAAGGCGACUAUCUGGGCCAACACUGACACUGAGGCACGAAAGCGUGGGGAGCAAACAGGAUUAGAUACCCCGGUAGUCCCUGUCUUUUAUAC